GUGCUUGAUUUGGCAGCACAUAUAUUAAAAUUGGAAUGAGGCAGAGAUGAGUGUGGCUCCUGCACAAGGAUGAUACAAAUUUGUGAAGAGUUCAAUAUUGUU